ensembl:lncRNA
UAAGUGUUAGCCGAGACGCACGCCCCAGUCCCGCAUAGAGCUGAGGUCAGGCUGAGAUUAGGGGGAAAAAAACCCUUUUAAAAUCACCUCACCAUCCCCCACCGGGGAUAAGGGACCGAGUGCAGCUUCAUGCUGUCCUGCCAUGGCAGGGCCGAGCGUGAGGCGAGGCUUUCCUGCAGUGACAGUCAGGUCUGAGAAAGAAGGUCCGCCUUGAUCCCAGCCACGCGGUCGGUCUAGUUAAAGCCGGAGCCGGCCCUAAAAUCCCUGCGUCUCGCCUCACGUCGAGACCCUUGCAGCUACACCACCACUGCGGGAAUAGAGUAGUCACCCGUGCAUGAAGGUGGGGUAAGGUGGCACUGGAGAGGAGUAGUUCUCUGCUUUUCUAGAAGCCAGGCGCUCUCCUCAGACUCCGGGGCCCCCAGAAAGUGUGAACUCUGAGUUUUCCCUUAAUAAAAAAAAAAAAAAAAGUUGACCAUGGGGAAAAAAUACUAGAGCCUUUGUGUGGCAAAGGAUGGCUUGGGCACUGCAAAGUCCCCUUUGAACCUGUGGUGGGACACCCUUGAAAGGGUCUCAAGGCAGUAAGAGUUGCCACGGGCCUCCAGCUGGGCAAGUGGCACACAUCUUGGCACUACCUAGGGUUUGGUGCAGUCAUGCUACAAGCCAGCAGCGGCCUGAAGGACUGAAAGAAAUUGCACCAGCAGCUGUGAGAUGUAUGCUGAUGUCCUGGUCCCUGCUGCAGGAAUUUCAAAGGUUACCUCUCCAAGUAAUUGGGUCUUGACUGACCACAAGAUGAAUAUGAGCCACCGAUGCAAUGCUGUGGCUGGCAAAGUGAGCAAAACUCUGGCAUGCAUCCACCCAUGCAUCUCAAGCAAAACCACAAAAGUCAUCCUCCUGUUUUACUCAGCUCUGGUGAGACCACCACUGGAGUACUGCAUCCAGUAUUGGGCCUCCCACUUCAGGAAGGAUGUGAAGAAGCUUGAGAGAGUCCAGAGGAGAGACACCCGUAUGAUCUAAGGCCUGGAGGGAAGGCAGUGCGAGGAGAGACUAUGGGACCUGGGACUCUUCACUUUGGAGAGGAGAAGGCUCAGGGGGGACUUGGUGGCAGUCUACAACUUCAUCAGAGGGGUACAUCAGGACCUGGGAGAACAGUUGUUCACCAGAGCUCCCCAAGGGAUAACAAGGUCUAAUGGCCAUAAGCUCCAGAAAGGCUGAUUUAGACUGGAUACAAGAAAAAAGUUCUUCAUGGUGCAUGUCCAGGGUCUGGAACAAACUGCCCCCAAAUGUGGUGCAAGCACCUACUCUGGAAUCCUUCAAAAAAACAGCUGGAUUUAUUUCUUGCUGUGGUCACUUGAUCCCAGCUGACUUCCCACCUAUGGCGGGGGGGGAGGGGGAGAGUCUGGACUCGAUCUCAUGAGGUUCCUUCCAGCGCCUAAUGUCUAUUAAAUCUAUAAAAAUGAAUUUAUCCUUACAACACUCUUGUGAAAUAUUGUUCACCACAUUUUACAGACAUACAGCUGAGGUACAGAACUGUUUUGGCCAAAAAUUCCAGUGUAUCCCUAAUUUUAAGAGCCUCAGUAAGUGGGCACCCCAGAUGAAAUAUCCAGGGUGUAAUGAUACUGUAAGUAGAUACUCCCUCUAUACUUAAGAAGCUGAAGAAUCAUGCCAGGCUCCCUUCUCCCAAGCUCCAAGAUUCUGAAGAAAUUGGAGAAGGAGAGCAUACUGCAGAAAUUUAAGUGUGAUUCUGAAAGAGAUUUAUCCUAACCUACUAGACUGUAAAUUCCAGUCUCCAUGAGCUAGGGAGAAAAACACCCAAAAAACAAGCAACACAAAAAACAAGUAGUAGUUUACUUUGCAAUUAAUUUUAUACUUUAUACUCUGCAAUUAUUGAAGAUGUAUUUAAAUAUGAGGUUUUUUUCUUUACAAGCAGAUUUUUAACUAAAGAGUUUAAUUACAUACUAAAGAAAAAUGUCUCCGAUGUUUCCUUCUGGAACCUGCAUUGAAUUCUUAAUCCCAU